UUUUGUUUUUUGUUUUUACCUCUGGAAGUUACUCUGAAUACGAAAUAGAUUCAGUGCCAAUGUAUUGACUGUGAUUUGUUUACUUGGCAGUAAAUGUGGCAGGACUUGACAUUUGGAUCGACGUAACCCCUCAAGUUCUGGAAUUUGGAGACUCAUUGAAGGCAAACUGCAGUACAUCAUGUGUGGAUUCAAACCUAUUAAUUGUCUUGGAAUAUAAAUCAGGGCUAAGUCCUCAGAGAAAACGUGAAAGUACAUGGAUAUCAGACUUCUUCCCAAAUGUCACAGCAUGGGAUAUUUCUGUCCCUUGUGUUGUGAGAUGUAAGAAUGAACACAACUCAGCCAAGAAAGUGGUCCCUGUUUACAAUCGAGAGAUAAGCAUUACAGUACUUCCUGAAGUACUGGAGAUUAACAGAACAUAUCGUCUGGAGUGCAUUGGCCCAAGAGUCUAUCCAAACAACAAACUCAUUCUCACAUGGCUGAGAGGGAGUGAGAUUGUCCAGAGAGAUUCCACAGGUGAACUAGGUCUUCCGGAUGAAGAUAAAAGGUUGAGAAAUGUCUUCAAUUUCGUUGCGAGUCGAUCAGAUGAUGGACAGGAGUACACCUGCUUGGCUGAAGUGGACUUGGACUCUAAUACCACAAAGUCAAUCACAAACUCUUCUGUCACACUGCAAACUUACGCUUUCAUUGAUCAGC